rnacentral:lncRNA from 1 species
GGAGAUUUUUGAGAAACAUUGUUGAGAAACACAAAUGGACUUCCCCUACAUCGUUUUCAAGAGAUUUCAGUGAAGAUUUAAAUUGCUUUUCACUUACUGUUUGCUGUUUGCAGCUUUGAGUGCAGUGCUACAGGCACAGAACUGGGAAACUGAGCUGAGAAGACCCAGCUCCCUGCUGCUUUCUGUUCAGAACCAAGGUGAGCCCAUUCAACCCCAACUUGGUGAGGACACACCAGUACCCACUUCAGCCUAUGAAAAAAAUGAUUCAAGCAAUAUCAUGUGCUUCUAUGUCUUCAAAGCAAUAUCACACCAUCAAUUUGCAGCUCAGCGUACCAACAGUUCUAAACUUUUUGCGAGCUUCGUGGGAACAAGAUGUGGAGCUUUAGCAGAGGAAAAUUGGUAAGAACAUCUAAUUACAUUCAAAGUCAUUUUUGCCUGUCUUAAAGGAAUGAAAAUGAUCUGCCGGUUUUUAUAGACCUUCUUGACCUAAAGAUAUCUGCUGGCAGAAAGAGAAUCCUCAAUUGGGUUCUUUUAAUGCUUUAAUUAUUACAUGAUCUAUCAUCUUACGCACUGACUUGCACACUUUGAAAAAUCUUUUAAAUACGCAUUAAAAUUGAUUGGCUAAUCCCAGACCUUAGGGUGGUGCUUGGAGGGCAUGCAAUUGUGUGUGUGGGCACAGGGGGUUAGACAGGAAUGACACAGAGUCAACUACUUCAUAGCGGGAUAAGGUGAGAAAUCAAUUUGGUCACAGGUACAGUUGACACUGUACUGCCAACUUGCACAGAACUCAGUCACACGCCCACUCUUUCUUGAAUCAGUAUUAUUGCUUCAACUUCACCAUCAGCUCCUAUGAGGCAGGGAUGAACUUCACCUAGUGUGCCUAGGACAGCAUCUCCUGCCUUAAACUUCUCCAAAUGAUGAGCAAGAUGACUUACAGGAACUUCAAAUCUACCUCAUCCCAGUCUAGGGCUUCUAUGUUUGUACACUAAAUGGUAGGGAAGAACUCUGAUUGGACGAGCUGGAGUCACAUGCCCAGAACUGUAGGUUUUGGAUGGGAUUGGCAGCUCCAAAUUCAAAUGUCUACUAUACUCUAUCCUGUACUCUACUUGGAUCUCAACAAUUUUUCAAAUGUUUUGGAAUCUAAGAGCUAAUUGCAAACUCUUGGUGAAAAACCCUAUCUCUAGAGGAAGUGCUCACUGAAAGGUCUUGCAUGAAGCCCUUGGGAGUCCUCACUGAUCCCAAGAGUACAAUAUCUAAUGCGUUACAGUCCAAGGUCUAUUAGCCGUGAUUCACUCCUGCUGAUUGAAUGCAGUUUCAGCUUUCAGACACAUACUCAGUUUGUAACUGUCGCUGCAUAAGGAAACAAGGGAUAGCUCUGUUUCCUACAAGGGUUAGGAACACGGAUCAUCAAAUGCUGGCUUUUUUCCUGAAGUUAGUGCAGAAGCUA